ensembl:lncRNA
AUGUGGGGUCUGUGGGACAGGCAGGGGGGAAGGACCUGUGGAGAUUGGUGGGGGUGGAGGGAGCUGGCUAUAAGGGGCUGGGGGUGCCGUAGGAGCCCCCCCUGCCCUGUUCCUGGUGGUUUCCUUGACCUGCCAAGCCCCCCCGAGGGACCCCAACCAGUGUGAGCUGGUGGACAGGCCCCGCUACCGGAAAGGCCCCCACAUCUGCUUCGACUACAAUGCAACAGAAGAUACCUCAGACUGCGGCCGAGGGGCUUCCUUCUCCCCGUCCCUGGGGGUCCUGCUCUCGCUGCAGCUGCUGCUCCUCUACUCCAGCACCAGCCGGCACCCACUGCCCCCGGCCGCCUGCCUUUAGCCCCCCGGCCGCCCCCGCCAGCUCUCUUUUCUUUCAACUUCCAUCUCCAUGCCCGUCCCCGGCCCGCUGGAGCGGGAGCGACGCCCCCUCCGCCGCCUGGGACCCCCCGGUGCCGCCCCGCUCUCCCCGCCGGCCGCAGCCAAAGAAGAGCCGGGGAGCGGCCGGGGCUCCCACAGAGCGGGCACCGGGCCGGGGCUCCCACAGAGCGGGCACCGGGACGGGCCCCGGUGUCGCUCCCUCCCGGCCACCCGGACUCGGAAAAGUGGCGUCGGUGUCCUCCGCCCGCAAUUCCCACCCCUCCUCCAUCCGCCUCGCCUAUUUUUUUAGCCUGAAGAUUUUAAAGCAGAUCUUUCUACAUCGAGUUUCCAACAUUUUCACCUGGAGACCGGCGGGGUUUAUUGUCAGCAACGAGGACACACGGGAAAACAAACGAGAAAAAAAAAAAAAAAAAAAAAAAAAAAAAAAAAAAAAAAAAAAAGAAAGGAAAAAAAAAAGGAAAAAAUGGGGGGAAGGAAAAAAAAAAAAAAGAAAGAAAGAAAGGACUUGACUGUGCGGGUCAGUAUCAUUUGUUCUGGCGGUAGCGGCCCCAGGGCGUGCGGGGCAGCCGCAAUCCCUGCGGGCUCAUCCCUGCGGGCUGGGGCUGGCAGCGGGCAGGGACAGGGACAGGGACAGGGACAGGGACAGUGGCCUUUGCCUGCGGCACGAUGGAGCCCCGGCCCCCGCGCUGGGCUCAGCCGUCCUUGGGCACAGAUACUGGCGUGAAAAGGAGGGGGAGAAAAAAAAUGUAUUUUGUUUCUUUUCCGUUCUGCAGAUCACUGUGAAUCCUGCCCGCUCAGCCCUGCCCCCUCCAGCCCUGGGACCCCCUGCCCUGCCAAAGAACCCGCGCUGGCCUGGCCGGGCCGGGCUGCUCGUCCCCGGGGACAUGUCCCGUGUCCCCAGCGGGCCCAGCCACACGGCCUCGAGUGCCAGCGGAGCGGGGCGUGCCACAUGUCCCCAGAAGGGCCGUGCCAGGCCCGGGCCCGUCCCGGGACAGCGGGGCCGCGCCGGGUGCUGCCGGCCGGGGGGAUGCGGGCAGGCGACGCUCACCGGGGGUGGCACCCCCCAGUCACCCCACCGGGUGCCGGGGAGGGGACAGCGUGGCUGCUCUGGCCUGGCACCCCUCGGACCCCACUGCACCCCACAAACCCAGCCUGGAGAGGUGCCGGGGGCUGGAGAGGCACGGGGCAGGGUGACAGCCGUGACACCGGGGUGCCACCCCCGCUGCUCCCGGCAGUGCCGGGGAUCCCUGGGCAGCCCCGGGGACCCUCACCCCCCCGGGGCACCCCGCUCAGAGCCACCCCAUCAACCGGGUCCAGGGGAGCCCCCUCGGCACGGCCACCCCGGGGGGGCUGGGGAGGGCGCCAGGCGCUAAUUAGUGCUGGGGUUAAUUAAUGGUCAUUCUGCUUGUAGCUUUUUCAGUGUGUGUUUGGUUACUGUCUCUGGGAACCGUGUUUGAACAGAUGGCUCUGUGUUACCGGGAGUGUGUGUACUUCUGUAGUCUAGUUAGG